UGCACCUGGACACCGCUUUCUUUAGAAUGUGGUGUGAACCCUUGAAACAGGGGCUGUGAUCUUUCCUGUUUUUGGGGCAUCCUGACCACACUUAAGUGCUGGCAGCUGUAAGGGCAGCAUUGAUCUCUGGAGACUGUCUCCUGUGGAGCAUGGCCCAAUGCGCUACACAGCUGGUGAUAGAGUGAGGUGCAUUGACCAGGACCUGAAGAACAGUCCCAGAUGGCAGUGGCCAUUUGCUUCAUCCUCAUUGAGCAUAAUGUGGUCUGCACCACUCGAGCAUAGGGAUAACAGAAAGCCAAGGAUUGUCCUCUUCUGGACCGCUGUACUCAGCAUCACCCCAGCGUGAUGAAGUGAAGCCCCUGGUCUGCUGAACAGUGGGACUGGCCCAGAGAGGCUCUGAUGGAUGUGGAUUAUCCCAGCCGGAGUACCUGGGACUUCACCUGACUGCCUCGACUUCUCAAAUACCACUGAGAGUGGCUCGGUGACUGCAGCGGUGAAUUCCCUCAGGGCUCUGGGACUCAUCUCAUCAGGACCCAAAGACUCCUGGAUGUCAGGUUCUCAGGUGGUCCAGAUCCUGAUCUCCCAUCACAGUGUGGGAUAGGGAGGGGUCUGUGGGACCGGCAUUGCUUCCUCAAUCCCCUUCCCUCAAAGAAAAGAAAAUCCCUCAAAGAAAAGAGACGAAAAGAGACGAAAAGAAAAGAGACGAAAAGAGACGAAAAGAGACGAAAAGAAAAGAAAAGAAAAGGAAGGAGACGAGACGAGACGAAAAGAGACGAGACGAGACGAAAAGAGACGAGACGAGACGAAAAGAGACGAGACGAGACGAAAAGAGACGAGACGAGACGAAAAGAGAUGAGACGAGACGAAAAGAGACGAGACGAGACGAAAAGAGACGAGACGAGACGAAAAGAGACGAGACGAGACGAAAAGAGACGAGACGAGACGAAAAGAGACGAGACGAGACGAAAAGAGACGAGACGAGACGAAAAGAGACGAAAAGAAAAGAAAAGAAACGAGACGAGACGAGACGAAAAGAAAAGAAAAGAGACGAAAAGAGACGAAAAGAAAAGAGAUGAAAUGAGACGAGACGAGACGAGACGAAAAGAAAAGAAAAGAAAAGAGACGAAAAGAGACGAAAAGAAAAGAAAAGAAAAGGAAGGAGACGAAAAGAGAUGAAAAGAAAAGAGACGAGACGAGACGAAAAGAGACGAGACGAAAAGAGACGAGACGAAAAGAGACGAGACGAAAAGAGACGAGACGAAAAGAGACGAGACGAAAAGAGACGAGACGAAAAGAGACGAGACGAGACGAAAAGAGACGAGACGAGACGAAAAGAGACGAAAAGAAAAGAAAAGAAACGAGACGAGACGAAAAGAAAAGAAAAGAGACGAAAAGAGACGAAAAGAAAAGAGACGAAACGAGACGAAAAGAGACGAGACGAAAAGAGACGAAAAGAAAAGAGACGAAAUGAGACGAGACGAAAAGAAAAGAGACGAAAAGAGAUGAAAAGAGACGAAAAGAGACGAGACGAGACGAAAAGAGACGAGACGAGACGAAAAGAAAAGAAAAGAGACGAAAAGAGACGAGACGAAAAGAAAAGAGACGAAACGAGACGAGACGAGACGAAAAGAAAAGAAAAGAAAGGAGACGAAAAGAGACGAAAAGAGACGAAAAGAAAAGAGACGAAACGAGACGAAAUGAGACGAGACGAGACGAGACGAAAAGAAAAGAAAAGAAAAGAGACGAAAAGGGACGAAUAGAGACGAGACGAGACGAAAAGAGACGGAAAGAGACGGAAAGAAAAGAGACGAGACAAGACGAGACGAAAAGAAAAGAGACGAGA